rnacentral:rRNA from 1 species
GGCUAUCACUUCUGGAUGGACCUGCGGCGCAUUAGCUUGUUGGUGGGGUAACGGCCUACCAAGGCAGUGAUGCGUAGCCGAGUUGAGAGACUGAUCGGCCACAAUGGGACUGAGACACGGCCCAUACUCCUACGGGAGGCAGCAGUAGGGAAUCUUCCAAGCUACCCAAUGGGCGCAAGCCUGAUGGAGCAACACCGCGUGAGUGAAGAAGGUUUUCGGAUCGUAAAGCUCUGUUGUUGAAGAAGAACGUGCAUGAGAGUAACUGUUCAUGCAGUGACGGUAUUCAACCAGAAAGUCACGGCUAACUACGUGCCAGCAGCCGCGGUAAUACGUAGGUGGCAAGCGUUAUCCGGAUUUAUUGGGCGUAAAGAGAGUGCAGGCGGUUUCUUAAGUCUGAUGUUUGACGAAAGCCUUCGGCUCAACCGAAGAAGUGCAUCGGAAACUGGGAAACUUGAGUACAGAAGAGGGCAGUGGAACUCCAUGUGUAGCGGUGGAAUGCGUAGAUAUAUGGAAGAACACCAGUGGCGAAGGCGGCUGCCUGGUCUGUAAGGCAAGCCUCUGACGCUG